rnacentral:rRNA from 1 species
UACCAGCACCCCCGAGUGGUCGGGACGUUUAUUGGGCCUAAAGCAUCCGUAGCCGGUUCUACAAGUCUUCCGUUAAAUCCAGCUGCUUAACAGAUGGGCUGCGGAAGAUACUAUGGAGCUAGGAGGCGGGAGAGGCAAGCGGUACUCGAUGGGUAGGGGUAAAAUCCGUUGAUCCAUUGAAGACCACCAGUGGCGAAGGCGGCUUGCCAGAACGCGCUCGACGGUGAGGGAUGAAAGCUGGGGGGAGCAAACCGG